CCUACGGGCGGCAGCAGAGGGGAAUAUUGCACAAUGGGCGCAAGCCUGAUGCAGCCAUGCCGCGUGUGUGAAGAAGGCCUUCGGGUUGUAAAGCACUUUCAGCGGGGAGGAAGGCGUUAAGGUUAAUAACCUUGGCGAUUGACGUUACCCGCAGAAGAAGCACCGGCUAACUCCGUGCCAGCAGCCGCGGUAAUACGGAGGGUGCAAGCGUUAAUCGGAAUUACUGGGCGUAAAGCGCACGCAGGCGGUCUGUCAAGUCGGAUGUGAAAUCCCCGGGCUCAACCGGGGAACUGCAUUCGAAACUGGCAGGCUAGAGUCUUGUAGAGGGGGGUAGAAUUCCAGGUGUAGCGGUGAAAUGCGUAGAGAUCUGGAGGAAUACCGGUGGCGAAGGCGGCCCCCUGGACAAAGACUGACGCUCAGGUGCGAAAGCGUGGGGAGCAAACAGGAUUAGAUACCCGUGUAGUC
rnacentral:rRNA from 1 species